rnacentral:rRNA from 1 species
GCCCGCUAGUAUUCUGGCGGGCAUGCCUGUUCGAGCGUCAUUUCAACCCUCAAGCCCCCCGGGGCUUGGUGUUGGGGCUCGGCCCGUCCCUCGCGGCGCGCCGUCCCCGAAAUCUAGUGGCGGUCUCGCGAUAGCCUCCUCUGCGUAGUAGCAAUAUCU